GAUGAACGCUGGCGGCGUGCCUAACACAUGCAAGUCGAGCGGCAGCGCGAGUAGUUUACUACUUGGCGGCGAGCGGCGGACGGCUGAGUAACGCGUGGGAACAUACCCCAAAGUGAGGGAUAACUGCCCGAAAGGGUAGCUAAUACCGCAUAUGAUCUUCGGAUUAAAGGAUUUAUCCGCUUUGGGAGUGGCCCGCGUCGGAUUAGGUAGUUGGUGAGGUAAAGGCUCACCAAGCCGACGAUCCGUAGCUGGUCUGAGAGGAUGAUCAGCCAGACUGGGACUGAGACACGGCCCAGACUCCUACGGGAGGCAGCAGUGAGGAAUCUUCCACAAUGGGCGAAAGCCUGAUGGAGCAACGCCGCGUGCAGGAUGAAGGCCUUCGGGUUGUAAACUGCUUUUAUAAGUGAGGAAUAUGACGGUAACUUAUGAAUAAGGAUCGGCUAAUAC
rnacentral:rRNA from 1 species